UCUGGUUGAUCCUGCCAGAGGCCAUUGCUAUCAGGGUUUGACUAAGCCAUGCGAGUCGAGAGGUGUAAGACCUCGGCAUACUGCUCAGUAACACGUGGUUAACCUGCCCUAAGGUGGAGAAUACUCCCGGGAAACUGGGGCUAAUGCUCCAUAGUGGAUAUGUCCUGGAAUGGUAUAUCCUCGAAAGAUCCGUCGCCUUAGGAUGGGACUGCGUCCGAUUAGGUUGUUGGCGGGGUAACGGCCCACCAAGCCAUUGAUCGGUACGGGUUGUGGGAGCAAGAUCCCGGAGAUGGAUUCUGAGACAUGAAUCCAGGCCCUACGGGGCGCAGCAGGCGCGCAAACUUUACAAUGCGAGCAAUCGUGAUAAGGAAACCCUGAGUGCCUGUCGAUGCAGGCUGUUCAUAUAUCUAAAUCAUAUGUGAAGAAAGGGCAGGGCAAGACCGGUGCCAGCCGCCGCGGUAAUACCGGCUGCUCGAGUGAUGGCCACUAUUACUGGGUUUAAAGCGUCCGUAGCUUGACUGUUAGGUCUCUUGGGAAA
rnacentral:rRNA from 1 species